UACGGGGGGGGCAAGCGUUGUUCGGAAUUACUGGGCGUAAAGGGCUCGUAGGCGGCCAACUAAGUCGGACGUGAAAUCCCCAGGCUCAACCUGGGAACUGCGUCCGAUACUGGAUGGCUUGAAUCCGGGAGAGGGAUGCAGAAUUCCACGUGUAGCGGUGAAAUGCGUAGAGAUGUGGAGGAACACCAGUGGCGAAGGCGACUUUCUGGUCUGUAACUGACGCUGAGGCGCGAAAGCGUGGGGAGCAAACAGG
rnacentral:rRNA from 1 species